GUCGGUGUAGUUUAGUGGUUAAAAUCCUUAGUGGUAACUGAGUGUCCCGAGGUUCGAUUCCACGGCGCCGACC